rnacentral:rRNA from 1 species
CCUACGGGCGGCAGCAGUGGGGAAUAUUGCUCAAUGGGGGAAACCCUGAAGCAGCAACGCCGCGUGAAGGAUGAAGGUUUUCGGAUUGUAAACUCCUUUUGUUAGAGAAGAUAAUGACGGUAUCUGACGACUAAGCACCGGCUAACUCCGUGCCAGCAGCCGCGGUAAUACGGAGGGUGCAAGCGUUACUCGGAAUCACUGGGCGUAAAGGGCGCGUAGGCGGGAUAGCAAGUCAGAUGUGAAAUCCUAUGGCUUAACCAUAGAACUGCAUUUGAAACUGUUAUUCUAGAGUAUGGGAGAGGUAGGUGGAAUGCUUGGUGUAGGGGUAAAAUCCGUAGAGAUCAAGAGGAAUACUCAUUGCGAAGGCGACCUGCUAGAACAUAACUGACGCUGAUGCGCGAAAGCGUGGGGAGCAAACAGGAUUAGAUACCCUAGUAGUC